rnacentral:rRNA from 1 species
ACGGGAGGCAGCAGUGAGGAAUAUUGGUCAAUGGGCGGAAGCCUGAACCAGCCAAGUCGCGUGAGGGAAGAAGGUAUUAUGUAUUGUAAACUUCUUUAGACGUAGAGAAAUAAGAGGGUCGUGGCCCUUGAUGCUAGAAUACGUAGAAUAAGGAUCGGCUAACUCCGUGCCAGCAGCCGCGGUAAUACGGAGGAUCCGAGCGUUAUCCGGAUUUAUUGGGUUUAAAGGGUGCGCAGGCGGUCUUUUAAGUCAGUGGUUAAAGCGUGGAGCUUAACUCCAUCCCGCCAUUGAUACUGGAGGACUUGAUUGCGGUUGAGGUUGGCGGAAUGCGCCGUGUAGCGGUGAAAUGCAUAGAUACGGCGAAGAACUCCGAUUGCGUAGGCAGCUGACCAAGCCGUAAAUGACGCUCAUGCACGAAAGUGCGGGGAUCGAACAGGAUUAGAUACCCUGGUA